rnacentral:rRNA from 1 species
AUGCCUAACCCCAGAGAAGUGGAUCGUGCUCUAUUUGUUGAACAUAUUAAGCUGAAAAAGUGUGGUGUGGCUGUUAAAGUUUCCCCUUGGUCUGAGGAUAUCGAUUCCGAGGGGCUUCUGGAAGUUGCUUAGGUGAGGAUUGGGAGAAUUCCUCCUAAUAAACGUUGUGAUAAGAUUGUGGCUUAUGGGGGGGGGGGGCUUGUGGGCAUAACCCUGGAGGUUGAUAUGUCUACUUUGAACCGCCCGUCUUCAAUGAGAGCUAAAAUUGGAUGUCGAUCAGUGAAACAACUCCCUAACAUAGCUGAAGGAGUGUUGGGGGGCGUUUCUAUAAAUUCACUUAUGAGGUGGAAGAAAUCCUGGUGGUUAAUACUGUUAACGAUGAGGCUGUGCGUGUUGAUGCUAAAGACAAUCCUCCUAAGCCUGAUUAGACUCCUAAAUGCAAGCGAGCUGAUCAGGGGGUAG